UCAGGAGUGAAGGAGCUGCUUGAUCUAAAGCAGAGUUCAGGCUGUCGACUGGAGACUGUGAGAUGGAGCUGGUGAUCUUUGUGAAGGGGAGUGUGAAGAGGACAGUGUGUGUGGACGGAGGCUGAGCUGUGUCCUGAUGAUCCACAGAGGCUGAAGCAGAAGCAGCUUGUGUGUAGUCUCCAAUUUACACAACCCCUAAUCUGCAUGUGUUUGUGAGAUGAAGCCGGAGCACCUGUUUAAAACACGGGGAGAACGUGCAAACUCCACACAGGAAGACCCCAUCUGAACCGGAUUCAAACCAGGAACCUUCUUGCCCCAAUUGUUUUUAUUCACAUGAAGAAUAUGUUUAUUGAAAUGACACAACACAAGCAGAAUAUAUAAACACUCAUCACAUAUAAUCACAUAGAAUCACAUAUAGUGUAUUUAAAUUUGCCUUUAUUGUUUUCCACCUUUGUCCCUCGGUAUAUCUCCGUGUGUGUAUAACCACAUUCUGUGUAUAUGUUUGUUUAUGAGCUUAAAGUUCCUGGAUUCACGUCAAAAAUUGAUUUAGUUCGACACAAAUUUAAACACAUUUAUAUCACUUUGAGUUUAAAAUCUGAGUUUUGACUUUGACACAAAAGAUCAGGUUUAGUUUAGGCCAGGUUUAACUUUAGGUUAGUUUAACCAAUACAUCAAACAUUUCAUCAGCCUGAAUAAACACUGAUACAUUAAAAACAUUAAGAUAAUUAUCUACCAUAUUUCUUUACACAUUUUAUAAUCUCAGGAUGGACAUUGUUUUUAAAGUGUUUGUGAAAUCCAAAACAUUGCAACCGAGAGUAACACACAACAUAAUUAAAUGUGCCAUAGAAAAUAAAAUUUAUGAACAGACGAAAUAUUGCAAAUCAAACAGUGAGUUCAGUAAAAUGUCAACAUCA